GUAAAGAGGAACCUCCUAAAAGAAAAGACAAUUCUGAAACAAAAUCAACUAAUGUACAAAAGAUUGAUGAAACUCAUCAACAAAGGACAAACAACACAAAAACCUCUUAUGUUGUCCCGAAAAUACGUCAGAUCAAGCACAGAAAUUUACUAAAGGCGAAUUUUUAAAAUUAAUGCUGGAUAGAAGCAAUAUGCAUCUCGAUAUUUUGAAAUAUAUUCAAAAUUGUUCAACUACAUUAAAUUAAUGCCAAAAGUAGGAGACCCCGCGAAUAGUUGUGAGGACUAUGCUGAUAAAACUAGGAAUUUUACUUAGGAGCAAAGAUCAUCAAUCCUAAAAUAUUUAUGUGAUAAUGUUCAUCCAAUCACCUUGCAACACCUUGAUGUACAUGUACCAAGUCUAAUUCAUGUCACUAUUACAUGCACUUUGAUACACAGACCAUCCAACUUUGAUUCAGGCUUUUUACAUCAUAUGGCUGAUCUAGAUGCUGUUUUAAGAGCACAGUCUGUACUGUUUGUGAUUGAAGAAGAAGUGGAAACAAAGCCAGAAAAUCUGUUGAGUCAUACAGAUAUUCUGUUUAAUAUGUCCUGAAACACAAACUUCAGCGAAGACCUACUUUAGUAAAGAUGCAUGGCAGCUUGUUUUAAAUACUCUCAAAGUAUUAGAAGAUAUGUAUAUUAGUAACACUCAGAAGUAUUAUGAUAAGAUUUCUCCAUGCCAGACAAGAAAAGGCAAAGCUUUAAUAGGUCCAGUUGAAGGUGAG